rnacentral:tRNA from 1 species
CGUGCCCUGUAAGUGAUUGAUAUUUCUUGCUUGGGGUGCAAGAGGUCGUGAGUUCAAAUCUCACCGGCCCGACCA